rnacentral:rRNA from 1 species
UACGUGGAGGGCCAAGCGUUGUUCGGAAUUACUGGGCGUAAAGGGCGCGUAGGCGGCCCGCUAAGUCGAACGUGAAAUCCCCGAGCUCAACUCGGGAACUGCGUCCGAUACUGGUGGGCUUGAAUCCGGGAGAGGGAUGCGGAAUUCCAGGUGUAGCGGUGAAAUGCGUAGAUAUCUGGAGGAACACCGGUGGCGAAGGCGGCAUCCUGGACCGGCAUUGACGCUGAGGCGCGAAAGCUAGGGGAGCAAACGGG